AUUUAUAUUUUUCUACCGCCUCUAGCAGACAUAACUUCAGUCAGACAUUUGUUUUUCACCAUCCCCUUCUGACCCCCUUGCUCAGUAGACCACAAUAAAACUCUAAACAUAAACAACUAAUCUUACCUAGCGGGAGACUACUAAACUGAAAUACAAUGAGAGCUGUGUCUUAUGUGGAACGUCUUGAGUUUGAUUUCCCUGGAUCAGUUUUCAAAAAUGCAUUUUUGUUUGGUGAUGUUGAUAAUGACAAAUGUGAAGAACUUGUUGUGGGUAACGAAAAUGGAGAUGUGUACAUUUACAAAGGCAGCGCUAGUAAAUGUUGGAGAAGAGCUAGUGAUUUGGGAAUGGUAACUGCAAUUGGAGUUGGUGAUAUAUUCAAUGCGGGUCGAAAUUCUUUGGUUGUGGUUAAUGGGGAAGGCUGGUGUUACAUUUUUGAUUUCCUCACGGAUACGUGCAGCGACGGUGAACUUCCCAUGAAACCGACUCACGUACAACGAAUUCCGGCUAAUACCAAAGUCCUUCUCCUGCAUGAUGUGAAUUCAGACGGAAUGAUUGAACUUGUGAUUGGAUUGACGGACCGAGUUGUCCGCACGUAUCAGUGGAUUAAUACAAAACUGGUUGGUCUCAACAAAUGGGAGUUCGCUAAUCAAAUUGGUACUGUGGGUAUAAAUGACAUGGCCAACCGCACCCCUUCACUUCUAGUUGCCCAUCCGGGAGGUACGUUUAUUCGGUUGAAAUGUAAGCCUUUAGAAAAUUGUGAAGAUCAUGGAAAAGAAGAACCAAGGGAGUUAUUAUCUAAAAUGUCAAUUGAUUAUCAUCCACUUGCAUACUCACAUAUGCGCAAUCCAAAUGUAUCAACGGAAAUAUUAGGGAACAUAUCACAGGGAAUAUCGCAUCAAGAUGAAAAUCAGGGAGCCCUGUAUGCCGUUGCUACACUUGACGGAACCUUGAUGAUGGUCGUUACAAGUUGAUCAUCAGUUAUUUGCUCUAUCGAAACUAGACAUAACAGGCGAUGGCCGGGAAGAAGUGGUCGCCUGUUCAUGGGAUGGACAAACAUACAUUGUAAACCAAGAGAAGCAAACUGUUCGGUUCCAAUUUGAUCAAUCCGUUUCAGCCUUCACCGCAGGUUAUUAUUCCUUAAAUUCCCAAUCGUCUUCCCUCCCCGCUUUUGCUUACGCAACGUUCCA
rnacentral:misc_RNA from 1 species